CUCAAUUGAGUCUGCUCCAACGCACUGUAAUUACAGCGUGUCAGAGCAGCCUCCCUGCAUGUGUAUAGGCGCCCCAAGUCUCCAAUCCUAUAAUGACUUCGUUUCAUACACAGUUAAGUACUGAAAUUUCCUCUUCCCAUUGAAGUCAGUGGCAAAAUUCCUGUUGACUUCAGUUGAAAUAGGAUGAGAUCUUCCAUUAGGAGAUUAACUUGAAAGCUGUAUGUGCUUUUCAUCUUUUUAAAUUUAUUUUGGCAUGAUAUAGAUCAUGUUCAUGUGUAGAGCAGACUCAGUUUGAUAAGGCAGGAGAAAUGUGCAAUAUACCCCACCUUUGAAGGCCCCUGAAAUUUUAGAGGCUCUGUAAUGCCUCUGCAUGAUGGCUUAGGGCACUGAGCAUUUGCUUAUGGAACAUGGUGUUCCCAAAGGGCUGUGAUUUGAUUCUGCAGUACUGAGGCAUGUCUUGUGUGGACAGGCAUUGUAUCUGCAGACUUGAAAGCAAGCUCCAAGGUAUGGGUUUUGUUUCACUUAUGGCUACUUGAUUCUCUCUCCUAAUUCACCUCCCAGUCCCUUUAAGAGAUUCACAGUAUGUGGAUUUAAUCAUACCUUGUAUAUUUUCCCUGUUAUUCACUGGUGAAUGGCCUGAGACUGGCGAAAUCUUCCUAGAAGAGAGUACGCUAGCAGACAGUACUUACAUAUCUCCUAAGAGACUUCUGGAAAGUAUGUUAGAACUUUUUUUGACAUUUUAACAUUUUAAUUUUUAUGUACUUGUUGAUGCUGCUAUUUUAGCCAUGAAGAGUUUGACUUGGAAGCUUCAUCCCUAGAUUCUGACGUCUUUGGCAUCUUUCUUUUGUAGGGGCUUCCUAAGUUAUUUGAACCACAGGUGGAUUUUUUCCCCCUAAACGUUGUAGGGCUGGAGCCAAAGCUAGGAGGAUCAGACCCGUAUUUUCUAGCGCUUAUGUAAAGAAUAUGAUUAAAUUUGGUUCCAAAAUUAAUUCUUUUUGAUUAUUUCAUUUGUUUAAAACUAAACGUAGAGGAGCUAUUACAUACCAUCUCCAUUUCAUUUUUCUUUUGUGAGGAUUGGUGUACAAGGAUUAGUGACAGUGACAAAUACACUUGAUUUAUUUAUGUAAUAUAAUUUAAUUUAUGUUGUUAUAACACUGAGUAAAACAAAGAUUAUUGUUCUUAAACGUUAUUGCCCCUCCCCUUCACAUGGCAUUUAUUGUAUCAAAAUAUGAAACUGGUACUGUAUUUGUGCAUAUGGUCCUGGACAAGGAGGCUCUGAUUCAUUUAACCAUGCAAGUGUGUGCUUAAAUUUUAAAUGUGCUCAAAUUCAUUUUUAUGCAGCAAAGCAGUUAUGAGCGUGCUUAAGUCCCAGUGGCAUCCACAGGAUUUAAGCAUGCAGGCUUAAGUGUUUUGCUGAGUUGGGAGUAGGAAAAGCUAGAUUGUAUACGUGAGUGCACAAGAAGGGAGUAGUGGGGAGUACACCUAUGUCUAUAGUGCAGGUGCAGUACAGCUCUCGUUGCAGUGUGCAGUCUCCCAGAAGUGCCAAGAGAAUCCUGAUUGCGUCUGCUCAGGGUCUUCAGGGAUCUUCAGUUGUGACACCCCCAACAUGGGCUUAAAGCAUGCAAAGGCGUCGUACUGAAACAUCAGUAUUUCAAAUGAGUUGCUCAGAGACUUGAGCUUAGUCAGAAUUCAAAGGGAGCAGCCGCAGCGGCUGAAACUACCACUGUUCAUGGUUAUUUAUUGCUGCUGCUGCCCAAUAAAAGACAGAGCGCUGCAGUAAUUCACUGACUUCUGUGGAGCUAACUGAGACUGACAUUGGGGAGCUGAGCCCAGAGUCUGGCACUUAGUACAAGGCUGAACAUGCAUCUCUGCAGUUUAGCAAUGGCAACAAAAAGUGCAAACAAAGCCAAAAGGCAGAACAGUAUUGUUGCUUUUAGAUAACUAAAAGCAAGUGAGUGAUUGGAUUUUUCAGUGAGGAAGAAAGCUGAGCUAUAUAUAUUUUUACAGGGAGAAAAGGUAGAUUUAAGGCUUAUAGAGAGGAGGCAGCAGUUUUCUCUGGCCUUUUUCAAAGGGCAAGGGAAAGCGCUAUAAUUUUCCAUGUUCACAUUCCUCCUCCGGGUCUCUUCUCACUUUUCACAGAUGUUAAGGUUAAAAGGAACGGUUAGGAUCAUUCAGUCUGAGCUGAAUAAGGUAGACCAGGGAAUUUUAUUCCCUUCUUUUCACCCCUGCCCUCUCUUUUAUUGCUACAAAAGUCAGUAGACACCCCUGCUACCACCGUUUGGUCAGUUUGAGGAACUGUGCUUAUUUUUUAUCAUAGAGCAGCACCGGACGCAGUGCAGCAAGAGGUAGGCAGGGGUGGGCCAGAGGUCUGUAUGCCUAGGGAAGCCUUCUGGUUAGGGUACAACGACUCAGCGUGAACUUGAGAAGGUCAUUUAACCUCUCUCUGCCUCACCUCUACCAUCUAGAAAAGGGGUAUAAAACUCCUUCCCACCUUAGAGUGGGUUGUGAGACUUAGUCAAUGUUUAUAGAGCACUCCUCCCACUUGAAGUUAUGCAAGAUGUGUUUAUUAUAUCAUAGAGUUUUUAUACUCUGGAGAGGGGAAGGCUGUUGAACCAGCCUCAUAGUGGGAUUUUUUUCUCGUAAUGUGAUGCAUUUCAAAAAGUGGACUGUGCUGAUGAAAAACUGUUUUAUUAUAUUCCCUAUUCUCCAAAUCAGGCAUGAAGUCUGGCAGAGAUAGUACUAUGGGCUAAUAUUUCAUAACAGAGGUACUCUUCAUGAGCUUAAUUAGUUUCUAACCGUGUCUAUAAUCAUAAUCAAACUGGGAUUGGUUUCAACUAAGGUGCAGUUUUUUAACCAUUUUGUUAAACUUGCAAAACCCUGAGUGGGCACUGAAAUUAAUUUUCUUUAUCUGAUUUUAUCACGGUGCAGCUUUAAAUAUAAAACAUGGCAUCUGUUUACACUAAUAAAUUUCUAAUACCAAUUCAGCCUCAAUUGUACAAACUCUUUGGAAGGUUAAUCUUUAUAUUGGGUCUAAAAAUGAGUUAUCUGUGGGCCAAUAACUAUCUGUUGUGAAAUCAGAUAUGGGAUUUUCAAAUUACUUGGGCAUUCAAGUUUUCAAUGAGGUUUGGGUGUUUCUCUCUCUCUCUAGUGUCCUUUGAAAAUUUCAGUAUCAAUUACUCAAAAAAUCUUAAUGUAAGGACACAAGGAGUCUUAAUAUAGUAUUCCUCUACCUGUAGUGCAUUGUUAUUGCUUUUAUUUUAGCUUUUUUCAUUCUCCCAAAAUUACUGUCGGAAAAUUGUCAUCCUUUCUUUGAAAAACAAAUCUAUUUCUGCAGAUCCAGAUAGGAAUGCAUUUUGCAACAGAGACUUUGUUAUAUCUUGUUUCAUCAGAUAAUCUCCCAACCUAAGAUUUCUUUUUUUUUAAAUAUAGAGAAAUUAUCCUAAUUCCAUCACAGACAGCAAUCUUAAAAUCUGCACACAUAAAAUCAAAUAAUAAAAUAAUGUUCCACUUUCGUAUCACCUUAUCAGAGUGAAAUUUAUUGUUAGGUCGUAUGGCUGUUAGCGUAGCUUAGAGCAAUAUUGUCUUUCUAUUAUGGGACAGGAACAGAUUAAAGGAUUAACAUAUAAUGGAUUAACACUUUCAUCUAUCUAGAAUGCAUUAAAAUACUUUUCUUUACAAGGAUAUCUUCAUAUUGGUAUAUGUAGACAAGUACCUAGACUUGGUAUUGGGUUGAUCCCUAGAGCGGUGGCGAGGAGCAGAAUGAUCAGUUUCUGAGGUCUUUGUGCACUCCACACAUUUUGCACUCAAAACCCUUUCAAAGGUACACUGUAAGAGCAUACUAUUUCUGCAGUUAGAACAACCCACAAAAGAGGGUGCGUAAAUGCAUCAAAAUGUGUUUGGCUCCACAUUUAUGGGAAAACACCUCUUUUCAUAGAUGCAGUUUUGCAAUGCAGCCUUUUGUCACUUCUUACAGUCUUGUUCAAGUUCUAAUUUAGCUAUGUGUCCAACUUGAGAAGCCUUUAAGGAAAUUUCUCUUGUGGAAAAAUAACACGUUUUAUCUGCACAAGGUGGAUUCUUAUCUUUUUUAAGAACUAUAAAUAAAUCUAAGCCUUGUAACUGGAGAGGGAACCUUUUUGUACAAUUUAUCAACUCUGAUACGACCAUACAACUCUGCUGGUACAACGAUAGCAGAGAGCUCUACCAUAUUUUGCAGAUGUGAAUCUGGGCAAGAGUAUGUCAAUAUGAACAUUCUGUUUAAAAAUUCACCAAAUUUUCAGAUACCUAAUGUUAACAUUAGGCAGUAUGAAUGUAUACUCAGUAAUUCAUAAUGUUCCUAACUCUGCCUUGCUCAGAUGUGCAUGCAUACCAUAUCUGCUGUUGUGUAGUGCUUUUCUAGUCUGUGUUCAUGAUAGAGAUUAGUGUCUAUCUGCUGGUAAAUAUGGCAUAUUUAUAUUUCGACAGGAAAGGUCUAUAAACACACCAAACUAAUGAGCCCAUUUUAAAAGAUUGCACUUGUAACUGUUAUUUAGUUUUUCCAGUUGUUUUCCCACCUGUUAAGGACUCCAGCAUGGCAAAAAGAAGAAAUGAGUAUACUAAAAUGUAGCCAUUCCAAUUUGAUGCACAUAACCAGGUCCUAUAAUUGUUGUCCAAAUGAGAAACUUAGACACGUGCAUCAAUAAUCGUGACCUUUGACUUUAGAUAUAGAUUUUUCUGUGGUUCUUUUCAGUGCCUUGAGAUACAUGAAAUAACCUUUAAAAGAGAGACUUUAGGAUUAAAAAAAAAAUCAGGUGCCACAAGGGUCUUUGUAAGACCCACUUAUGUAUUUACAAUGGGAAGCAUAAUUUUAGAAAGGGACUAACUGCAAUGUUUGUAUUUUUCUUUGACUUUCGAGUUUUGUAACUCAUUCAUCAAAACCUUUGUUUUCUGGGGUUUUUUUACCUUGUUUAUCAGAGCACGUGAGGUGUGUGGCAGGACAGUCUUUGACUUUCAAAGGUAAUAGGCAACCCAGAGGCUGUGGUUUUUCUUUGCAUUAAGAGGGAAGGGAUGCUCAUUUGAUUAAUUUGCAAAUUGGGUGCAGUUUAAAUAUUCUGAUUAUGCCACUCAUAUUGAAGACAGUUUUGCCAUUGACUUCAGGGGAUCAGGACCUUCAGGCACUAAUAAGUGGCUCUGACAAUAGUGCUAAGAGAGGAGCUUGAAAAAAUAAUUCAUUCACUUCUCUUCUUUUUUCUGUAGCUCUUAAGGCUUUCUUCCUAGCAGGUGUUUACAUCAGAGCUCAUGCUUGUUAUAAACUCCUUCCUGCAGAGAGCCUCAGUGAACGCGGUAGCUGUGGUCCCCUUGAACUGCGUAAACAAGGGCAAUGAAACAAAGGGAGGAUUUUUCUUUCCUUACUAUGCAUGAAAAAUCUGUCAUGUUGGUUGCAAUGCAUUUCAUGAAAGGAAUGUCACUGCUCCAAGGAACAUAAGAUUACAGCAGAAAAAUUGUAGUUAAAUCUACCUCUGUUGAUGGGCAGUUGCAAUCUCAGUUGUAAUUAUUUUGGCAGGAAGAAAUAGGAACAGAUCCUUUUACAACAGGAGUAACAAAUUCUUUUACAUUUAGAGUUUCCAGGCA